UACAGAGGUCUCAAGCGUUGUUCGGAUUCAUUGGGCGUAAAGGGUGUGUAGGUGGCGCUCUAAGUCGGGGGUGAAAUUUCGGAGCUUAACUCCGAAACUGCAUUCGAUACUGGCGUGCUUGAGGACUGGAGAGGAGACUGGAAUUCAUGGUGUAGCAGUGAAAUGCGUAGAGAUCAUGAGGAAGACCAGUGGCGAAGGCGGGUCUCUGGACAGUUCCUGACACUGAGACACGAAGGCCAGGGGAGCAAACGGG
rnacentral:rRNA from 1 species